CGUCGGAAUCUGGGAGGACCAUCUCCUAAGGCUAAAUACUCUCUAGUGACCGAUAGUGAACCAGUACCGUGAGGGAAAGGUGAAAAGCACCCCGGAAGGGGAGUGAAAUAGAACCUGAAACCGUGUGCUUACAAGUAGUCAGAGCCCGUUAAUGGGUGAUGGCGUGCCUUUUGUAGAAUGAACCGGCGAGUUACGAUUUGAUGCAAGGUUAAGCAGUAAAUGUGGAGCCGUAGCGAAAGCGAGUCUGAAUAGGGCGUUUAGUAUUUGGUCGUAGACCCGAAACCAGGUGAUCUACCCUUGGUCAGGUUGAAGUUCAGGUAACACUGAAUGGAGGACCGAACCGACUUACGUUGAAAAGUGAGCGGAUGAACUGAGGGUAGCGGAGAAAUUCCAAUCGAACCUGGAGAUAGCUGGUUCUCUCCGAAAUAGCUUUAGGGCUAGCCUCAAGUGAUGAUUAUUGGAGGUAGAGCACUGUUUGGACGAGGGGCCCCUCUCGGGUUACCGAAUUCAGACAAACUCCGAAUGCCAAUUAAUUUAACUUGGGAGUCAGAACAUGGGUGAUAAGGUCCGUGUUCGAAAGGGAAACAGCCCAGACCACCAGCUAAGGUCCCAAAAUAUAUGUUAAGUGGAAAAGGAUGUGGCGUUGCCCAGACAACUAGGAUGUUGGCUUAGAAGCAGCCAUCAUUUAAAGAGUGCGUAAUAGCUCACUAGUCGAGUGACACUGCGCCGAAAAUGUACCGGGGCUAAACAUAUUACCGAAGCUGUGGAUUGUCCUUUGGACAAUGGUAGGAGAGCGUUCUAAGGGCGUUGAAGCAUGAUCGUAAGGACAUGUGGAGCGCUUAGAAGUGAGAAUGCCGGUGUGAGUAGCGAAAGACGGGUGAGAAUCCCGUCCACCGAUUGACUAAGGUUUCCAGAGGAAGGCUCGUCCGCUCUGGGUUAGUCGGGUCCUAAGCUGAGGCCGACAGGCGUAGGCGAUGGAUAACAGGUUGAUAUUCCUGUACCACCUAUAAUCGUUUUAAUCGAUGGGGGGACGCAGUAGGAUAGGCGAAGCG
rnacentral:rRNA from 1 species